AUUGAACGCUGGCGGCAGGCCUAACACAUGCAAGUCGAGCGGAUGAGAAGAGCUCGCUCUUCGAUUCAGCGGCGGACGGGUGAGUAAUGCCUAGGAAUCUGCCUGGUAGUGGGGGACAACGUUUCGAAAGGAACGCUAAUACCGCAUACGUCCUACGGGAGAAAGCAGGGGACCUUCGGGCCCUGCGCUAUCAGAUGAGCCUAGGUCGGAUUAGCUAGUUGGUGAGGUAAUGGCUCACCAAGGCGACGAUCCGUAACUGGUCUGAGAGGAUGAUCCGUCACACUGGAACUGAGACACGGUCCAGACUCCUACGGGAGGCAGCAGUGGGGAAUAUUGGACAAUGGGCGAAAGCCUGAUCCAGCCAUGCCGCGUGUGUGAAGAAGGUCUUCGGAUUGUAAAGCACUUUAAGUUGGGAGGAAGGGCAGUAAGUUAAUACCUUGCUGUUUUGACGUUGCCGACAGAAUAAGCACCGGCUAACUCUGUGCCAGCAGCCGCCGCGGUAA
rnacentral:rRNA from 1 species